GCGUCGACAAAUCUUACGGGACCGUGACGUCAGAUGUGGCUCCCCAUAUUGUAUUGUUCGCAGUCAUUAUUUUAUUACGCUACAAUGUUAUAAAACCGUGAACUUAAAAAUCACGUAUACGCGCUCGUCUUUUUUACACCAGGCACAACCAAACGUCCGUACGGAUUUCGACAUUUUCGUGACGGCGUGCCGAACUAAACGGGUUCCUGUAGCCAUU